UACAUGGGGUGCGAAACGUUGCUCGGAAUUAUUGGGCGUAAAGCGCACGUAGGCGGUUCGUUAAGUCGGAUGUGAAAGCCCUCGGCUCAACUGAGGAAGUGCACCCGAAACUGGCGAGCUUGAGUACGAAAGAGGAUCGCGGAAUUCCCGGUGUAGAGGUGAAAUUCGUAGAUAUCGGGAGGAACACCGGUGGCGAAGGCGGCGAUCUGGGUCGAUACUGACGCUGAGGUGCGAAAGCGUGGGGAGCGAACAGG
rnacentral:rRNA from 1 species